CCCCCUUUUUAUGUUUUGGAUAAGCAUCACAUGCCAAGAUUGGGAAACACUGGUAUAAAUAAGACGUAGGAGUGGGAGGGAUGUCAUACACUAUUUGGUCGUUCAGAAGAUGGUGAGAAAGGAAAAAUUGGUUAUUGCUCUUGCAUGGCUCCUGGUAAUGGCAUCCAUGAUCGUGUCAGCACAGGUGAUGCAGGGUGCUCGUCUGCAUGCAUUUGAGCAUAUGGUUCAUCCCCAAGGUUGUCGCUGCUGCUGGUUCAUUUGGAAGCCACUAAUCCACUGUGGAAAAACAUGUUGUGAAGAUGGAUGUUGCACUUGAUGCAUCAUAGAACAUAGAAGAGUUAUACUUUGUCACUAACAGAUGGUGUUGAUGCUCAUCAAAUAAAAUGAAUAAAUCUUACGUUGGAACAGCAAUGUUCAUGCGGCAUAAAGUUCUGACU